GUCUAUGGUCAUGCCACCCUGAACAUGUCCGAUCUCAUCCGAUCUUGGAAGCUAAGCAUGGUUGGGCCUGGUUAGUACUUGGAUGGGAGACCAUGUAGGAAUACCAAGUGCUGUAGGCG
rnacentral:rRNA from 1 species